UACGGAGGGUGCAAGCGUUAUCCGGAUUUACUGGGUUUAAAGGGUGCGUAGGUGGGUAGGCAAGUCAGUGGUGAAAUCUUCGGGCUUAACCCGGAAACUGCCAUUGAUACUAUUUAUCUUGAAUACUUUGGAGGUAAGCGGAAUAUGUCAUGUAGCGGUGAAAUGCUUAGAUAUGACAUAGAACACCAAUUGCGAAGGCAGCUUACUACACAGUUAUUGACACUGAGGCACGAAAGCGUGGGGAUCAAACAGG
rnacentral:rRNA from 1 species